rnacentral:tRNA from 1 species
GUCUAUGUAGAUUAUUAAUUAAAUCAUGAUGCUGUUAACUUCAAGAAGAGGUGAUUAACUCUGUAGUCG